rnacentral:rRNA from 1 species
AGUGAACGCUGGCGGUAGGCCUAACACAUGCAAGUCGAACGGCAGCACAGUAAGAGCUUGCUCUUACGGGUGGCGAGUGGCGGACGGGUGAGGAAUACAUCGGAAUCUACUUUUUCGUGGGGGAUAACGUAGGGAAACUUACGCUAAUACCGCAUACGACCUACGGGUGAAAGCAGGGGAUCUUCGGACCUUGCGCGAUUGAAUGAGCCGAUGUCGGAUUAGCUAGUUGGCGGGGUAAAGGCCCACCAAGGCGACGAUCCGUAGCUGGUCUGAGAGGAUGAUCGGCCACACUGGAACUGAAACCCGGUCCAGACUCCUACGGGAGGCAGCAGAGGGGAAUAUUGGACAAAGGGCGCAAGCCUGAUCCAGCCAUACCGCGUGGGUGAAGAAGGCCUUCGGGUUGUAAAGCCCUUUUGUUGGGAAAGAAAAGCAGCAGGUUAAUACCCCGCUGUUCUGACGGUACCCAAAGAAUAAGCACCGGCUAACUUCGUG